CCAAAGGCUCUUUUAAGAGCCACCACCAAAGUGUCAAAAUAAAGG
rfam:TPA: Bos taurus chromosome 3, whole genome shotgun sequence.